rnacentral:rRNA from 1 species
AAAUUGAAGAGUUUGAUCAUGGCUCAGAUUGAACGCUGGCGGCAGGCCUAACACAUGCAAGUCGAACGGUAACAGGAAACAGCUUGCUGUUUCGCUGACGAGUGGCGGACGGGUGAGUAAUGUCUGGGAAACUGCCUGAUGGAGGGGGAUAACUACUGGAAACGGUAGCUAAUACCGCAUAACGUCGCAAGACCAAAGAGGGGGACCCUCGGGCCUCUUGCCAUCGGAUGUGCCCAGAUGGGAUUAGCUUGUUGGUGGGGUAACGGCUCACCAAGGCGACGAUCCCUAGCUGGUCUGAGAGGAUGACCAGCCACACUGGAACUGAGACACGGUCCAGACUCCUACGGGAGGCAGCAGUGGGGAAUAUUGCACAAUGGGCGCAAGCCUGAUGCAGCCAUGCCGCGUGUAUGAAGAAGGCCUUCGGGUUGUAAAGUACUUUCAGCGGGGAGGAAGGGAGUAAAGUUAAUACCUUUGCUCAUUGACGUUACCCGCAGAAGAAGCACCGGCUAACUCCGUGCCAGCAGCCGCGGUAAUACGGAGGGUGCAAGCGUUAAUCGGAAUUACUGGGCGUAAAGCGCACGCAGGCGGUUUGUUAAGUCAGAUGUGAAAUCCCCGGGCUCAACCUGGGAACUGCAUCUGAUACUGGCAAGCUUGAGUCUCGUAGAGGGGGGGUAGAAUUCCAGGUGUAGCGGUGAAAUGCGUAGAGAUCUGGAGGAAUACCGGUGGCGAAGGCGGCCCCCUGGACGAAGACUGACGCUCAGGUGCGAAAGCGUGGGGAGCAAACAGGAUUAGAUACCCUGGUAGUCCACGCCGUAAACGAUGUCGACUUGGAGGUUGUGCCCUUGAGGCGUGGCUUCCGGAGCUAACGCGUUAAGUCGACCGCCUGGGGAGUACGGCCGCAAGGUUAAAACUCAAAUGAAUUGACGGGGGCCCGCACAAGCGGUGGAGCAUGUGGUUUAAUUCGAUGCAACGCGAAGAACCUUACCUGGUCUUGACAUCCACGGAAGUUUUCAGAGAUGAGAAUGUGCCUUCGGGAACCGUGAGACAGGUGCUGCAUGGCUGUCGUCAGCUCGUGUUGUGAAAUGUUGGGUUAAGUCCCGCAACGAGCGCAACCCUUAUCCUUUGUUGCCAGCGGUCCGGCCGGGAACUCAAAGGAGACUGCCAGUGAUAAACUGGAGGAAGGUGGGGAUGACGUCAAGUCAUCAUGGCCCUUACGACCAGGGCUACACACGUGCUACAAUGGCGCAUACAAAGAGAAGCGACCUCGCGAGAGCAAGCGGACCUCAUAAAGUGCGUCGUAGUCCGGAUUGGAGUCUGCAACUCGACUCCAUGAAGUCGGAAUCGCUAGUAAUCGUGGAUCAGAAUGCCACGGUGAAUACGUUCCCGGGCCUUGUACACACCGCCCGUCACACCAUGGGAGUGGGUUGCAAAAGAAGUAGGUAGCUUAACCUUCGGGAGGGCGCUUACCACUUUGUGAUUCAUGACUGGGGUGAAGUCGUAACAAGGUAACCGUAGGGGAACCUGCGGUUGGAUCACCUCCUUA